rnacentral:lncRNA from 1 species
CACUAUCUUCCCUUCUUUCUUCCUGGAGGCACUUUCCAAACUAAGAUGCAGGGAGAAUAAACCCAAGCAGAAAACACAGGUUUCUUUGAAUUCAGGAGAAAGAUUAGAGUUUGAGGAGACUGAGACAACUGGAAAAGGCCACAUCAGUUCUGUUCUUGAUGGCCGAAGCUGUG